GCGUGGGUGAAGAAGGCCUUAGGGUUGUAAAGCCCUUUCAGCGGGGAAGAUAAUGACGGUACCCGCAGAAGAAGCCCCGGCUAACUCCGUGCCAGCAGCCGCGGUAAGACGGAGGGGGCUAGCGUUGUUCGGAAUUACUGGGCGUAAAGCGCGCGUAGGCGGCCAUGCAAGUCAGGUGUGAAAUCCCGGGGCUCAACUCCGGAAUUGCACUUGAAACUGCAUGGCUAGAGGACGGGAGAGGAGAGUGGAAUUCCCAGUGUAGAGGUGAAAUUCGU
rnacentral:rRNA from 1 species